UUUUCAUUGGAGAGUUUGAUCCUGGCUCAGGACGAACGCUGGCGGCGUGCUUAACACAUGCAAGUCGAACGGAAAGGCCCCUUUGGGGGUACUCGAGUGGCGAACGGGUGAGUAACACGUGAGUAACCUGCCCUUGACUUCGGGAUAACUUCAGGAAACUGGGGCUAAUACCGGAUAGGAAUCCUUGCUGCAUGGUGGGGGUUGGAAAGCUUCGGCGGUUUUGGAUGGACUCGCGGCUUAUCAGCUUGUUGGUGGGGUAGUGGCUUACCAAGGCUUUGACGGGUAGCCGGCCUGAGAGGGCGACCGGCCACAUUGGGACUGAGAUACGGCCCAGACUCCUACGGGAGGCAGCAGUGGGGAAUAUUGCACAAUGGGCGGA
rnacentral:rRNA from 1 species